rnacentral:lncRNA from 1 species
CCCAUACUGUUUAUACUACUCAAACAGGACACCCGUAUUUCACGGCGAGCUCGAAAUUGUUAGCACAAAGAAAUUGACAUAUCAAUAGCGAUUAAAGAAAGAAAACUGAGUCUUACCCUUAACUUAGUGAUAAAGAAGAUACAUAAAACAGAGAUGCCAACUUACUUAAUACUCAGAAGAGACUGAAAAUGGACAUGAAUUCAAAACAAAGAAAAGAA